AUGCUUGUCUCUGUCCUUCUGAAGAUGGUCUUAGCUUCUAUGUGGCUAGGAAUCAGUGUUGCUCAGAAGGUCACUCAAGCCCUACCAACAACCUCAGCACAGGAGAAGGAGGAUGUGGUCCUGAACUGCACAUAUGAUAUCAGCAAUAACAUUGAUAGCUACAGUGUGUUCUGGUACAAGCAGCCUAGUAGUCAGGAGAUGAUUUUUCUCAUUCGCCAGGACUCUUACAGCCAGGAAAAUGCAACUGAAGGUCGUUACACAGUGGACUUCCAGAAGGCAAGCAAGUCCAUCAACCUUGUCAUCUCAGCUUCACAGCUGGAGGACUCAGUAUUGUAUUUCUGUGCGCUGAGAGACACACAAUGA